rnacentral:rRNA from 1 species
UCGAACGCGAAAGGGGGGCAACCCCCGAGUAGAGUGGCGAACGGGUGAGUAAUACAUCGGAACGUACCCAGUAGCGGGGGAUAACCUCUCGAAAGAGAGGCUAAUACCGCAUACGACCUACGGGUGAAAGAGGGGGAUCGCAAGACCUCUCACUAUUGGAGCGGCCGAUGUCGGAUUAGCUAGUUGGUGGGGUAAUGGCCUACCAAGGCGACGAUCCGUAGCUGGUCUGAGAGGACGGCCAGCCACACUGGAACUGAGACACGGUCUAGACUCCUACGGGAGGCAGCAGUGGGGAAUUUUGGACAAUGGGCGAAAGCCUGAUCCAGCCAUGCCGCGUGAGUGAAGAAGGCCUUCGGGUUGUAAAGCUCUUUCGGCUGGGACGAAAAGGUCCGUGCUAACACCACGGAUCCAUGACGGUACCAGCAGAAGAAGCACCGGCUAACUACGUGCCAGCAGCCGCGGUAAUACGUAGGGUGCAGGCGUUA